rnacentral:rRNA from 1 species
GACGAACGCUGGCGGCGUGCCUAACACAUGCAAGUCGAGCGGGGAUUUAAGUGGAAGUUCUUCGGAAUGGAGAUUUAAAUUCUAGCGGCGGACGGGUGAGUAACGCGUGAACAAUCUGUCCCGGACAGGGGGAUAACACUUGGAAACAGGUGCUAAUACCGCAUAAGACCACGGCCUCGCAUGGGGCUGAGGUAAAAGGAGCAAUCCGGUUCGGGGUGAGUUCGCGUCCGAUUAGCUAGUUGGUGAGGUAACGGCCCACCAAGGCGACGAUCGGUAGCCGGCCUGAGGGGGUGAACGGCCACAUUGGAACUGAGAGACGGUCCAAACUCCUACGGGAGGCGGCAGUGGGGAAUAUUGGGCAAGGGGCGAAAGCCUGACCCAGCAACGCCGCGUGAGGGAAGAAGGUUUUCGGAUUGUAAACCUCUGUCCUAUGGGACGAAGGAAGUGACGGUACCAUAGGAGGAAGCCCCGGCUAACUACGUG